UUAGUUUUUUUACCUAUAUUUUGGUAAUUUCAACUAAAAGAUUUUAGUAUUUUAUUAUUGCUUAAAUUGUUAUAGUAAUUAUCGCAAUAUUACACCUGACAACGGGUGCCGGUCACACUGGACAAUGGCUCGUGGUUACACUGUUACUUUUAUUUUUACCUAUUUCGGGUUUUUUACCUCUAUGGCAGUAACUGAGUGAUCGAAAAUCGGCUUUUCCUUUUACUGUUUUUUUUCCGUGUCCGUCAUCGUCAUUGCGUCAUUUGAAAUUUAAAUUUUCUUAAGUGUUAAAUUUUAAUUUGUCAAUUGUCACUUAUGAAUUUGUCAACUGUCAUCAAUACGUUUUUGCUGUCAUUUGUAUACAUGUUAAAAGCUUGACUACCCACUAUGGAUUUAUUCACAGAAAAUAUGAUGAAAUAGCUUUACUUGAUCUUACUGAAACUAUGGUUGAACAGUUAUUCCCAAAAAUGGGUCAGCGCUCUAAGUUUUUAAAACAUUUGAAAAAAUUAAAAACAGAAAGAAAUUUACCAGAGGAAAAUUCAUCAGUUAUGACUCAACAUUCAGUAAUUGAUUGGGAUAACUUAGAUGUUGUAUUAUCAGAUGAAUUAGAACAUAAUAAGUAUAAAGUAUAUCAUUUGUAUUACCUAAUUGUAAUUAAAUAACAAUAAAAUAUAUUCUUACAUUUA